GACGAACGCUGGCGGCGUGCUUAACACAUGCAAGUCGAGCGGUAAGGCCCUUUCGGGGGUACACGAGCGGCGAACGGGUGAGUAACACGUGGGUGACCUGCCCUUAGCUCUGGGAUAAGCCUGGGAAACUGGGUCUAAUACCGGAUAUGACUCCAUGACGCAUGUUGUGGGGUGGAAAGCCUUGUGCGGCUAGGGGAUGGGCCUGCGGCCUAUCAGCUUGUUGGUGGGGUGAGGCCUACCAAGGCGACGACGGGUAGCCGGCCUGAGAGGGCGACCGGCCACACUGGGACUGAGACACGGCCCAGACUCCUACGGGAGGCAGCAGUGGGGAAUCUUGCGCAA
rnacentral:rRNA from 1 species